AGAGUUUGAUCAUGGCUCAGAAUCAACGCUGGCGGCGUGCCUAACACAUGCAAGUCGCACGAGAAAGGGGAGCAAUCCCUGAGUACAGUGGCGCACGGGUGAGUAACACGUGACUAACCUACCUUCGAGUGGGGAAUAACCUGGGGAAACCCGGGCUAAUACCGCAUAACACUUACGAGUCAAAGCAGCAAUGUGCUUGAAGAGGGGGUCGCGGCCGAUUAGCUAGUUGGCGGGGUAAUGGCCCACCAAGGCUUUGAUCGGUAUCCGGCCUGAGGGGGCGCACGGACACACUGGAACUGAAACACGGUCCAGACUCCUACGGGAGGCAGCAGUGGGGAAUUUUGCGCAAUGGGGGAAACCCUGACGCAGCAACGCCGCGUGGAGGAUGAAGUCUCUUGGGACGUAAACUCCUUUCGAUCGGGACGAUAAUGACGGUACCGGAAGAAGAAGCCCCGGCUAACUUCGUGCCAGCAGCCGCGGUAAUACGGGGGGGUGCAAGCGUUAAUCGGAAUCACUGGGCGUAAAGGGUGCGUAGGCGGUACGUUAGGUCUGUCGUGAAAUCCCCGGGCUCAACCUGGGAAAUGGCGGUAGAAACCGGCGAACUAGAGUAUGGGAGAGGGUGGGUGGAAAUUUCCAGGG
rnacentral:rRNA from 1 species